UGUACAGUACCUCUUGCCAUUCCUCUGUGUCUGUCGACGAGCUUGACACUACUGGGACGACUGGCGAGGACGCGCUCCCGUGCCACCUUCAGUUCGAAAAGCUGUAGUUUCCUUCGCAAUGCCCUGUUUUCUUUCUGGCUUUGAGUUAUUUCCAAACGAAACACUGCAUAGUCGUCGUCUACGAGUUUACAGAUCUCUGCCACGGCUGCAUUCGCUAGCACCUCCAUGAUGGAGGCUAUUUGAGUGUGAAAAACCAUACUGUUAGCCAUCGUUAGCUAACGUUAUCCGCUAACUAGCUGGCUAGCGUUACCUCGACAAUCGAUAACAUCUGUCAACCAAGUGAUGUUAGAUCAACAACAGGAUCUUGGAGUAACCACUGAGGAACAUCCCCUAUCACCACAGAAGGGCCAACCUCCAAUUCCCUCAGACCACUCAUCAGCAAGCUUUCCAACUGUCCAACCAAAACCACUGCCCUGUCUACUAAUAUAUUCCCAACAGUCAUCUAGAACAGUAGCAGUGGGAUGGUCAACCUCACAGCCUUUCAGCCUAACCCAAUAAGCUAAUUACCAUUUUUACACUGAAAAUCCAAAAGCAUCUCACCUAUCUCCACUAGUAAGGCACAUACAGAUGUUGAUUUAAAUGCACCAAUACAUAUCCUUAAAGCUAUAUACUGGAUUCUGUCCAGCUGCUGAAGACAAGUCUUUGCCGCUGUUCCAUAAACUAUACACCCGUAAUCAAUUGUCGUUCUGAUCAGAGCUCUAUAAAUAUCCAUCAACGAUUGUCUAUCAGCACCCCAUUCAUAACCAAAGACCAAGCACAUAAGAUUCACCACCUUCUAACACUUUUUUUCAACAUUUGACAUGAUAUUUCCAUGUAUAUCGCUCAUUGAACCAUAGACCCAAAUAUUUGUACUUAGAAACCCUCCCCAUAGGCUGACCUUACAGAAACAACUGUAUAUUAUCAGCAACUUUCUUCUUAGAGAAGAACAUACAGCAAGACUUUCGCCACUGACAAUUCAAAACCCCAGUCAAUUGACCAUCUUUCAAAAUCCACUAUAGCUUGUUGAAUAGAUUGUCACAUGAGAGAUAUUCCUUGUCCCCUUUCAAAUAGCUCUAUCAUCAGCAUAUAGGUAAGCCCCAAUACUCCAACCUACAUUCAAAAACACAUUGUUAAUCAUAAUAUUGAACAAAAUAGGACUGAUCACACUGCCUUGAGGAAUACCAUUGUCAACUCCACAGGCAUCAGAUAAAAUGGAUCCUAUUUUAACUCAAAAAGAGCGAUUAAAUAAGAACACCAAAACUCAGUUGUAUAUUCUCCCACCAAUACCAAGUCUAUCCAUCUUAAUCACAUUGUAUUGUAUGCCUUUUCAAUGUCAAAAAAGACAGUAGCCAUUAUUUCAUGACCAGAGGUUUUUCAACUUCAUUGUUCACCUUUACUAAAACAUCCAAAGUAGAUCUACCUUUAUGGAAUCCACUUUGCCAUUGACUCAAUAAAAAUCUAUGUUCCAGGAAA